rnacentral:rRNA from 1 species
UACGGGGGGGGCAAGCGUUGUUCGGAAUUACUGGGCGUAAAGGGCGCGUAGGCGGCCUUCUAAGUCGGACGUGAAAUCCCUCGGCUUAACCGAGGAACUGCGUCCGAUACUGAAAGGCUUGAAUCCGGGAGAGGGAUGUGGAAUUCCAGGUGUAGCGGUGAAAUGCGUAGAUAUCUGGAGGAACACCGGUGGCGAAGGCGGCAUCCUGGACCGGUAUUGACGCUGAGGCGCGAAAGCCAGGGGGGCAAACGGG